UUUUUGGGAAAUCUCAGGUUUAAAAAUUAACUACAGUAAACCCAGGUUGUAUGGAUUGGCAGUAUGAAAUACAGUCAGAAUGAACUUUGUACUAGCUUAAACUUAUCAUGGGGUAAACAUAAUUUUUCGUACCUUGGAAUAGACUUUGAUGUAGAUUUAUCAAAGAUGAUACGAUUAAAUUAUGAUAAAAAAAUAUUGGAGAUUGAAUCUCUUUUAAAGCAAUGGAGCAAGAGAAACUUAACUCCAAUUGGGCGUAUUACAGUGGUUAAAACAUUGGCAUUACCAAAGCUUAUCCAUCUGUUUUCAUCAUUGCCAAAUCCAGACUCCAGAUUUAUUCAAAAACUUGAUAACUUGUUUUAUAGUUUUGUUUGGCAAAAACCAGUUGGUAAAGUUAAGAGAGAGAAACAUUAGUGAAAGAUUAUUUUGAAGGGGUCUAAAAAUGAUUAGUUUGAAACCUUUCAUAAAAUCACUGAAAUGUACAUGGGUUAGAAGGUUGAUCAAUAAUAAAA
rnacentral:lncRNA from 1 species